GACUUCCCUCCCCAAGUGCAUUGAGUCGCAACAGUUUCGCACAGAAGAUAUCAAAGAAUUUCCUUGAUGCAUGCCCAAGGAGGGUCAAGGAGACCGUGUUUGGCUACUCCUGUUUCCAAGUCCUGCAGCUUGUGUGUCAGAGCAAAAACCUGUCGUCUUACCAUUUUAUGCCAGCGCUGAUGGCACCGUUUCUGAUUCUGAUUCUUGUGCUGCCUAUUAUGGUGAUCAACCCACAAACACUCAUCCGUUUGGCCCUCAAGUGGGACAAUGGCAAUUGGGCAAGUGACCCAAACUGGGCCAUGAAGCCAAAGAGACCUUUGUGUUUCUAAACACACUAUGGAUAAACCAGAGAUCGAGUGACUUUUGCUGCUGAAAACAGGUAAGGUGUAAAUUACAUGGCUCCAAACAGGCAGUACACAAAGGCCAGAAAGGGUUCAAUACCUGUUGGGUGGGCAGUUAUGUCCUCCGCCCCCGAUCAGUCUCUAUUGCAGGCAACACUGAUGUGCCUGUGUUGGUGUGUGAAAUGCAAACUGACCCUCACACCAGUUGUCUAAGCAUUUACCUUGAGCAGAGAGUUCGAGAGGCGAUUCAAAAGUUACGCUGCAGGGGCUCAUUAGGUUCUUCAGGUUUUGGAACAGCUGGAAAACAAAGAAGCACCAGGGUCUCUGAUGUGGAGCAACAGAGGAAGAGGAAUUGCAGGGUUCAUUGUUGCUGGUGCCACACACCAAACCUGGCAGCACACCAGAUAUCGAUGCAUCCCCAGAGGUUGUACCUUCUCUCCAUUGUGGUUCCCCAAGACGUAGCACCCCAUGAUGUGAAUAACAUUUGGCUCUGGAUUCAGUUUGCUCAUCAGGUGGCCCAGCCGCUUCCAGAAACUGCAAAAGAAGGUGGAGGAACACUAUAUUGGAUUUGCCAGUUUGCAAGGUUGAGGAGGUGGGAAAGACAAACAGCCCCCUUCAAGCAAAAGCCAAAAUUCUCAAAACAGACAAAGUUGGCACCAAAUUCCACACAUGCAGAAAACACACACAACUAUGAUUUCCCAAUGAGAAGCAUGCCAGUUUGACAGCCUCCCCAAACAAGGAGACCAGAAGCAUUUAACUCACUAGAUCAUGUCUUCCUCUUUCUCCACUUUUGCAAAAGUGGCGACUUUAUUCUUCAAAAGGUACAAGUGUCCAGGCCCACCCUGCAGGAGAUAAAAAGCCAGCAUUUGCAACAAACAGUCUGGUGCUUCUCUUGGAGAGGAAGCUACUACUGCUUUGUUAUCUGGAAGGCCAUCUUCUUCAAGGUCAGGAGUUCUAUGAAGCCAAGAGGAAGCAAUGAACAAUAGCUGUUUGAAGGGACUAUCAUUUACCUGACAAAAAAUCAACAUCUUCCAGAUUUUGCAGCCCUUGCGAUAGAUGUUCAGUUUCUUCUCGAUUUCUUCUGCAGAAGAAAGGGAAAGAAAGAAGAGGGGAAAGAUGUAUAAACCAUGCACAGAGGGGAAAGAAAGCAUUUCUGAGCAUGGCGAGGAGAAGUCAUAGCGUGCUUAAGACUGAUGUUCAUAUUGCUAUGCUUUGUGCCCAUUGGAAGAAAGGUGGUAUAUGAAUGCAAUAAAUCCCUUAAGAGUGCCAAGGACCUAUUUGGGGAAGAUCUGUUGGGAAAGAGUCUAUCGUCUCAGCAGGUCUAAGGAGCUCAAAAAGGAAUUAGGAACCCAGAAAUUGCAAAUUUUGGACUAUAGUUCCCAUAAUCCCAAAACAGCAUGGGCACUAAGUGGCAGGGGAUUAUGGGAAUUAAGUCCAAACAAUAACUUCUAAGCUUUGUCUGUAUUUUCCCCCUUUUUUGGAUGCAUAGAAUGAAGCUUUUGGAGCCACUAAGAGGUGAAGGAAUCUACUCUGAUUUCCACUGCUUCCCUUACUUUACACCCAGAUCUCCCCUGUAUCCCUCUGUAACUCCAACUCCAGGUUCAACAUCUAGCUGUCCCUUUCAACCAGUGUAAUGCCAUUUAGUUUCAUUCCAAAUACAUACCUAAAAUGUCAUCAAAGGUGGCGUGCUCAUGAUCCUAAAAGAAAAAGGAGAAGGAUGGAUAAAUAUUCUCGAUUUUACUUGUCAAUGUGGCUCAGGAGCUCAAGGACGUAGGCUGCAAACAGUCAUUUGUAAUGGAGCAGGAAGCAGUAUGAAAUAGUCCCUAUUGCCAAAAAGGUUAAGAGUAGGGAACUACUGGCUUUCCAGAUGUUUUGGCCUAUAUCACACAUCAUCAUUUAUAUUUAUAUUUAUUUGUGUCCCCCUUUCCCCCAAAAUUGAGACUCAAAGUGGCUCACAAUUUAAAAGAACAAUAUAAUUAAAGAGUCCCCUUCCUCAGAAGUUUGGGAAUGAUUUUCACAGAGGUGGGUUUUGCAAGAA